AAGACUAUACUUUCAGAGUUCAUUUCUAUACUUCAUUACUAGAGAGGUUUCUUUGAACGUGUAAAACAUGGAGUCGUGUAAACCACAGCGACACAGCAUUCGCCUUGGUGUUGCUCUGCUGCAAUUGUCAUUUCCCAUUGAUGGUUAUUGUCCUUGUCUCUAAAAGAGUAAGAGAGAGAAGGCCCAGACCAAGUGGUUUCCAUUCUAA
ensembl:snoRNA U3 Small nucleolar RNA U3